GCUCAGGACCUGGUGGACAUCUGUUUCCAUUGGUGUUGGGCUGUCAAUCUGCAAGGCAGAGAAGAAGGAUGAAAGGAGCAGCCUCCUGCCCUGCUUCCCUGCUCUGCCAUCCCCUGCACAGCCCCGCUCACCGGGUUGCUGUUCUGACAGGGGUUGCCUUGGCAAAUUUGGGCUCACUAUGUCAGCAGCGCCGCAUUGACAAGGCCAACGCAGUCAUGCGGUGUGGUGCCAACACCUGCAGUGGGGUUGGGAGUCAGAAAAAGCAGAGUUAAAGGUUUGGGUUAAGAGCAGGGGGAUGCUGGGGAGUUUCCAUAGGUCUGUAGGUGCAGGACAGGCUAUAGUUGGGGUGUGACUUAACUUUAUUGUAGGACGUGAACACCGGUUUGUCAAAUGGAGCUCAGGCCCUGGUGGUCAUCUUUUUCGUUGGUGUUGGGCUGUCCAUCUGCAAGGCAGAUGGGAGGCACGAGAGGAGAAGCCUCCUGCUCUGCUUCCCCAUGCUGCCCUCCCGUGCACAGCCCUGCUCACCAGAUUGCUGGUCUGCCAGCCAUGCCCGUGGCUGUGUGGGGCUGCCUGUUUCCCCAAGCCUGGGUGGAAAGCGGCACAGCAGUCAGCAGGCCAGGUGCCAGCACCUAGAGUGGGGCCCGUGCUCAUCUAAGUCGUAUCAACAGUUGGGGUGAGGGCAGGGGUGUCUUGGGGAGCAGACAGGGGCCCUUCAGGCGCAGGAAGGAUACCAAUUGUGGCAGACUUAUCUGUCUUGUAUGGCACUGAGACCGGUUAGAGAGCUGAGGACAGGCGUGUGUCCAGCUCUGGUUCCAUCUUGGUGUGGACUCCCAUCUGCAAGGCAGAGGAGAAGGAUGAAAGGAGCAGCCUCCUGACCUGCUUCUCUGCUCUGCCCUCCCCUGCACAGCCCCGCUCACCGGGUUCCUGGUCUGAAAAUGGUUUCCUUGGCCAUUUUGUGCUCACUGUGUCAGCAGCGCCGCAUUGACACGGCCACUGUAGUCAUGCGCUGUGGUGCCGGCACCUGCAGUGGGGUCGGGAUUCAGCAAAGCAGAGUUAAAGUUUUAGGGUAACAGCCGGGGGAUGCUAUGGAGCUUCCAUAGGCCUGCAGGUGCAAGACAGGGUACAAAUUGGGCGUGACUUAUCUUUUCUGUAGGACAUGAACACCAGUUUGUCAAAUGGAGCUCAGGCCCUGGUGGUCAUCUUUUUCGUUGGUGUUGGGCUGUCCAUCUGCAAGGCAGAUGGGAGACACAAGAGGAACAGCCUCCUGCUCUGCUUCCCCAUGCUGCCCUCCCGUGCACAGCCCUGCUCACCAGGUUGCUGGUCUGCCAGCCAUGCCCGUGGCUGUGUGGGGCUGCCUGUUUCCCCAAGCCUGGGUGCAAAGCGGCACGGCAAUCAGCAGGCCAGGUGCCAGCACCUAGAGUGGGUCCCCUGCUCAGCUAACUAAUAUCAACUGUUGGGGUGAGGGCAGGGGUGUCUUGGGGAGCAGUUAGGGGCCCUUCGGGCCUACGAAGGAUACCGUUUCUGGCUGACUUAUCUGUCUGGUAUGGCAUGGAGACCGGUUAGAGAGCUGAGGACAGGCGCAUGUCCAGCUCUGGUUCCAUCUUGGAGUAGACACCCAUCUGCAGUGCAGAGAGGAAGGACGAAAGGAGCAGCCUCCUGCCCUGCUUCUCUGCUCUGCCCUCCCCUGCACAGCCCCGCUCACCUGGUUCCUGGUCUGAAAAUGGUUUCCUUGGCCAUUUUGUGCUCACUGUGUCAGCAGCGCCACAUUGACACGGCCACUGCAGUUAUAUGCGGUGUGGUGCCGGCACCUGCAGAGGGAUGAGGAGUCAGACAAGCAGAGUUAAAGGUAUGGGUUAAGAGCAGGGGGAUGCUAUGGAGCUUCCAUGGGCCUGUAGGUGCAAGACAGGGUACAAAUUGGGCGUGACUUAUCUUUUUUGUAGGACAUGAACACCAGUUUGUCAAAUGGAGCUCAGGCCCUGGUGGUCAUCUUUUUCCAUUGGUGUUGGGCUGUCCAUCUGCAAGGCAGAUGGGAGGCACGAGAGGAGCAGCCUCCUGCUCUGCUUCCCCGUGCUGCCCUCCCGUGCACAGCCCUGCUCACCAGGUUGCUGGUCUGCCAGCCAUGCCCGUGGCUGUGUGUGGCUGCUUUUUUCCCCAAGCCUGGGUAGAAAGCGGCACGACAAUCAGCAGGCCUGGUGCUGGCACCUAGAGAGGGACCUGUGCUCAGCUAAGGGGUAUCAAUCGUUGGGGUGAGGGCAGAAUUUCUUGGGGAGCAGCCAGGGGUUCUUUGUGCCCAGGAAAAAUACCGUUUGUGGCUGACUUAUCUGUCUUGUAUGGCAAGAAGACCGGUUAGAGAGCUGAGGACAGGCGUGUGUCCAGCUCUGGUUCCAUCUUGGUGUGGACACCCAUCUGCAAGGCAGAGGGGAAGGACAAAAGGAGCAGCAUCCUGCCCUGCUUCCCUGCUCUGCCCUCCCCUGCACAGCCCCGCUCACCGGGUUGCUGGUCUGAAAAUGGUUUCCUUGUCCAUUUUGGGCUCACUGUGUCAGCAGCGCCUUGUUGGCAUGGCCACUGCAGUCAUGCGGUGUGGUGCCGGCACCUGCAGAGGGAUCGGGAGUCAGCAAAGCAGAGAUAAAGGUUUGGGUUAAGAGCAGGGGGAUGCUAUGGAGCUUCCAUAGGCCUGUAGUUGCAAGACAGGCUAGAGUUUGAGCGUGACUUAUCUUUUUUGUUGGAUGUGAACUCCAGUUUGUCAAAUGGAGCUCAGGCCCUGGUGGUCAUAUGUUUCCAUUGGUGUUGGGCUGUCCAUCUGCAAGGCAGAUGAGAGGCACGAGAGGAGCAGCCUCCUGCUCUGCUUCCCCGUGCUGCCCUCCCGUGCACAGCCCUGCUCACCAGGUUGCUGGUCUGCCAGCCAUGCCCGUUGCAGUGUGUGGCUGCCUCUUUCCCCAAGCCUGG
ensembl:lncRNA